AGUGAACGCUGGCGGUAGGCCUAACACAUGCAAGUCGAGCGACCGCACAGUAAGAGCUCGCUCUUGCGGUUAGCGACGGACGGGCGGGUGAGGAAUACAUAGGAAUCUUCUUAGUCUUGGGGGAUAUCGUGGGAACACAGACGCUAAUACAUAAUACGACCUACCGGUGAAAUCAAGAGUGCUUGGGACCUUGCGCGAUUGGAUGAGCCGGUGUCGGAUUAGCUAGUUGGCGGGGUAAAGGCACACCAAGGCGACGAUCCGUAGCUGGUCUGAGAGGAUGAUCAGCCACACUGGAACUGAGACACGGUCCAGACUCCUACGGGAGGCAGCAGUGGGGAAUCUUGCACAAUGGGCGCAAGCCUGACCCAGCCACACCGCGUGGGUGAUGAAGGUCUUCGGGUUGUAAAGCUCUUUUGUUAGGAAAGAACAGCAGCAUGUGAAUACCUGGCUGUUCUGACGGUACCCAAAGAAUAAGCACCGGCUAACUUCGUG
rnacentral:rRNA from 1 species